CCUACGGGAGGCAGCAGUGAGGAAUAUUGGUCAAUGGGCGCAAGCCUGAACCAGCGACGCCGCGUGCGGGAUGAAGGGGCUUUGCCUCGUAAACCGCUGUCGGAUGGGACGAAAGGUGGCUUUGAGCCACUGGGACGGUACCAUCAAAGGAAGGAUCGGCUAACUACGUGCCAGCAGCCGCGGUAAUACGUAGGAUCCGAGCGUUGUCCGGAGUUACUGGGUGUAAAGGGUGCGUAGGCUGUUCUGUGCGUCAGAGGUGAAAUCCACGGGCUUAACUCGUGGGGUGCCUUUGAUACGGCAGGGCUUGAGUACGAGAGAGGUGCGUGGAAUUCCUGGUGUAGCAGUGAAAUGCGUAGAUAUCAGGAGGAACACCGGUGGCGAAGGCGGCGCACUGGCUCGUAACUGACGCUGAGGCACGAAAGCGUGGGGAUCAAACAGGAUUAGAUACCCUGGUAGUCCACGCCUUAAACGAUGCAUGCUUGGUGUUGGUCUCGCAAGAGAUCAGUGCCGUAGUUAACAUGAUAAGCAUGCCACCUGGGGAGUACGAUCGCAAGAUUAAAACUCAAAGGAAUUGACGG
rnacentral:rRNA from 1 species